GACGAACGCUGGCGGCGUGCUUAACACAUGCAAGUCGAACGGAAAGGCCCUGCUUUUGUGGGGUGCUCGAGUGGCGAACGGGUGAGUAACACGUGAGUAACCUGCCCUUGACUUUGGGAUAACUUCAGGAAACUGGGGCUAAUACCGGAUAGGAGCUCCUGCUGCACGGUGGGGGUAGGAAAGUUUCGGCGGUUGGGGAUGGACUCGCGGCUUAUCAGCUUGUUGGUGGGGUAGUGGCUUACCAAGGCUUUGACGGGUAGCCGGCCUGAGAGGGUGACCGGCCACAUUGGGACUGAGAUACGGCCCAGACUCCUACGGGAGGCAGCAGUGGGGAAUAUUGCACAAUGGGCGGAAGCCUGAUGCAGCAACGCCGCGUGCGGGAUGACGGCCUUCGGGUUGUAAACCGCUUUCGCCUGUGACGAAGCGUGAGUGACGGUAAUGGGUAAAGAAGCACCGGCUAACUACGUG
rnacentral:rRNA from 1 species